rnacentral:rRNA from 1 species
UACGGGGGGGGCAAGCGUUGUUUGGAAUUACUGGGCGUAAAGGGCUCGUAGGUGGCCAACUAAGUCAGACGUGAAAUCCCUCGGCUUAACCGGGGAACUGCGUCUGAUACUGGAUGGCUUGAGAUUGGGAGAGGGAUGCGGAAUUCCAGGUGUAGCGGUGAAAUGCGUAGAUAUCUGGAGGAACACCGGUGGCGAAGGCGGCAUCCUGGACCAACACUGACACUGAGGAGCGAAAGCCAGGGGAGCAAACGGG